CCCUUCUAAUGCAGCAUUUCCAUCUUUAUUAUUAUUCGUAGGGCUUCUUAUCGCAAAUAGCGGUUGUGUAACUUGCGUUUGCGUUUCUUUUGGCGGCGAUUGCAUAAACAGCGUUUGCGUUUGCGUUUCUUUCGGAGGCGGAGGCGCCGGUGGUUGCAUAAACAGCGUUUGCGUUUGCGUUUCUUUCGGAGGCGGAGGAGCCGGUGGUUGCAUAAACAGCGUUUGCGUUUCCUUCGGAGGCGGAGGAGCCGGCGGCUGCAUAAACAACGUCUGCGUUUCCUUAGGAGGCGGAGGAGCAGGCGGUUGCAUAAACAGCGUUUGCGUCUCUUUCGGAGGCGCAGACGGUGGCUGUUGCAUAAACAGCGUCUGCGUCUCUUUCGGAGGCGGCGGCGGUUGCAUAAACAACGCCUGUGUUUGCGGCUGCUGAAGUUGCGGUUGUUGCUGAUGCUGCUGCUGCUGCUGAUAAUGGUGAUACUGUUGACCGAACUGACUCACCGGGCCAAACUGAAGAAACCUCAACUCGUUAUCAUAAAUGGCUUUCUUAGAAGGAUUAGACAACACAUUCCAAGCUUCAGAAACCAACCGAAAGGCCUGAUCUGAAAAAGAAAGACCGUUCUUCCCAUAAUUCAAAAGCAUAGCCAGUUUCCUGUACUGACCCGCCACCACUUCCAUAGACUGAGUUAACGGCACGAGUUGUAAUAUCCCGUACCAAUCUUGAGGGUUUGAUUGCGCAGCCAUGAGAGUGUCGGUCACAGCCAGUAUCUGGUCAGCCGGCACCGGGGCCAGUUCCCGUGCUCGGAUCGCCAACGUCCUAGCCCCGUGCAAGUCACGUGACGCCAAUAGCUUCUCAGCUAUGGUGAGCCAACGUUCCGCUUCAGUAGUGUUACCGUCCAUUUCCUUCUCCCAAUGUGGUUUUUUCUCUCUCUCUCUCUUGCUUUUUUGUUGUGCGGAAACUACUUUUGUUUGAUGGUGGGAAAAAGGAACCAGACAAAAGCGUCACCUCGGUGUCUGGUUUUGGACGAUUCAAGACACCUGUUUUGAAACAAAUUCCGCAUUGGUUUCACUUGGCUUAUAAGGAAUAAAGGGAAAUGUGGAUGGGUAUUAUUGUCUUUUCAAAAUCCAGUGUCCAAGUGCAAAAUUUUUUAUUUUUAGUAGGGAAGUGUGGGUUGAACUUUGAACUUUUGAAAUGGCAAAAAAAAUAUGGAAAGCUUUGCUGGAAAAGGGUGUUUUAGUAAUUUCAAAAGGAAUUUAUGGAUUGUGGUACAGUUUUGCAUUGUGACAGUCGUCUUUAUUAAGGUGCGCC
rnacentral:lncRNA from 1 species